UUGGAACCACCUGAUCCCAUCCCGAACUCAGUAGUGAAACGAUGCAUCGCCGAUGGUAGUGUGGGGUCUCCCCAUGUGAGAGUAGGUCAUCGUCAAGC
rnacentral:rRNA from 1 species